UGUGGGAGCGGGCUUGCUCGCGAAAGCGGUGUACCAGUCAAUAUAUUCAUUGACUGGUACACCGCUUUCGCGAGCAAGCCCGCUCCCACA
rnacentral:antisense_RNA from 1 species